CUUUAACUUGUUUUACUUCACCUGGAACACAAAUAAAAUUAACCUCCGAGAUCUGUGCGUUGAGCUGCUGCUAGGAGCUUGUCCCCUCUUCUGGAAGGAGGUGGUGUUUGUUGGACACUUAUUAUGUGCUGGGCAGGUCCCCGGCCUGGGUGGCCCCCAGGGAAUAGUCACCAGGAGUGCCCCAUGAUCGAGCCAUUUCCCAGACGAGGACGGACAGGAGGCCCGUGGUGGCUGGCAGGCAGCCGGAUGCACAUCUCCAGCCAUGACUCUGCUGUGGGCCCUUGCGGCUCCAGUUUGUGUUUCUUUUGGGCUCACGUCUGGAAUGGUGCUCAGCUCGCACCAUCUGAAGUCAGUCUCCAGUGGCCCGGAGCAAUCUCCCUGCUGCUGAAGUGUUGGCUUCAAGUGCGAUCAAGAUUUUGAGAGAGCAUGUUUCGCAUAGCUGGUCCCGGGCUGGUCUGAAGUCUCCUUAAGCCCCUGGGAGCCUGGUUUCCAUGCCAACAGUUGCCGGGCCACUCACAGGCAUUUUCCUCUAUUCCCUACAGCAGCCCCUCAAAGGAUGUCCUGGUCUUAGAAGUGGCUCAUUUGCAUGUCAUUUGCAUAUCCAGUACCUUGUCUGGAUUCUCCCCGAGUGGCCAGCUGACAAUAAGGAAACUGAGGCCCAGAGGGAAGAGGUGCUGCAAGGGAUGGCGGUGACUCAGUGGCAGAGAAUGGACCAGGUUUCCAAGCAAGGGCGUGUGGGACAUCCAGGGAUGCCGCUCCAGGCCAUGCUCGGCUCUCCUGACCUGCGCCAGGCUGGCUCGGCCCUUCCCACAUUGCUGAGCCACAGGGCACUGCUACUCAGACUUCCCUUUAAGACAUCUGCUUUCUCCACUUAAACAAAUGGAAGUGUGGCGGAGUAUCUGGAAAAAGAAAAUCCACACCACAGGUGAGGGCUAGCGGAGAAAAUGGACUCCAGGACACAUAAAGGGGGCUGCAUGUCCUCCUCAUGCUCUGUCCUUUUGGUUAAUAAAGGCGGGAGGCAGACACCAAAUGGGGACUUUGUCCAGGCAGUGAUGGCA
rnacentral:lncRNA from 1 species